CCAGAGACCACUGACAAAGAAGCCCUAAUGACCUACAAAUACCGCCUACUAACGGUAAUGUGCAUAAGAGGGAGAAACAAGCUCGGCAUGAUAAUGUCCACAUACAGGAUCAACAAAGCUGCCACAGCACCAGUAGACAAACCCAGAGACACCAUAGUAGUCACGAAAAACAUGGCAACCAGAUCUAGAACCUUAGACAAUGGGCAGUUCGAGGGUAGCACAGUGGCC